rfam:Candidatus Nanopusillus sp. Nst1 Nst1_C2, whole genome shotgun sequence.
GGGCCCGUAGUCUAGUCGUAGGAUGUCGGCCUGGCUAGCCGGAGAUCCCGGGUUCAAAUCCCGGCGGGUCCA